rnacentral:misc_RNA from 1 species
GAAAUGCGAUAAGUAAUGUGAAUUGCAGAAUUCAGUGAAUCAUCGAAUCUUUGAACGCACAUUGCGCCUAUUAGUAUUCUAGUAGGCAUGCCUGUUCGAGCGUCAUUUCAACCAUCAAGCCCCGCGCUUGUGUUGGGGACCUGCGGCUGCCGCAGGCCCUGAAAACCAGUGGCGGGCUCGCUGUCACACCGGGCGUAGUAGAUUUUAUCUCGCUCAGGGCGUGCUGCGGGUUCCGGCCGUUAAAAAGCCUUUUUUACCCAAGGUUGACCUCGGAUCAGGUAGGAAGACCCGCUGAACUUAAGC